GGAGUUAGCCGGUGCUUCUUCUGCGAGUAACGUCACAGAUGUAAGGUAUUAACUUACACCCUUUCCUCCUCGCUGAAAGUGCUUUACAACCCGAAGGCCUUCUUCACACACGCGGCAUGGCUGCAUCAGGGUUUCCCCCAUUGUGCAAUAUUCCCCACUGCUGCCUCCCGUAGGAGUCUGGGCCGUGUCUCAGUCCCAGUGUGGCUGAUCAUCCUCUCAGACCAGCUAGGGAUCGUCGCCUAGGUGAGCCUUUACCUCACCUACUAGCUAAUCCCACCUGGGCUUAUCCAUCAGCGCAAGGCCCGAAGGUCCCCUGCUUUCCCCCGUAGGGCGUAUGCGGUAUUAGCAGUCGUUUCCAACUGUUAUCCCCCACAAAUGGGCAAAUUCCCAGGCAUUACUCACCCGUCCGCCGCUCGUCAUCUACAACGACAGCUUUAGUAAUAGUUACCGUCUCGUACUUCGCAUGUGUUAGGUCCGUCGCCGCCGACGCGUUCUACUCUGAGCCGACGGACGUACAACCUACUAGA
rnacentral:rRNA from 1 species